UUGCAUUUUAUCCCAUCUUUCGAUCAUCUGAGCAAGAUAUGGAUCGAAUAAGCAAAUAUAAUCUAGAGCUCUUUGAUCAUCUUUAUUGUGAAAAUCUUUGACUCUUUUGAUGCUCGAUAAAAUCUUUUCGACACAGCAAUCCGCGUGACAGUAACGGUGACAGCGUUUGAAAGAAGUACAAAACAAUUCGAACACUCAACGAAACACUUUACUGACAUGGAUUUUGUGCGAAACCAACCAGUGAUUCUAGCUGCACAUUGCAUAGUUACCUAUUGGAAAUCUUAAUUACCACUUUUUCCUAAAACAUUGAUUUCAAGCGCUCGAGGACGGAAUAUUUCAAACGACAAAAUGAUUUUCAUGGAUAACAAGUUGAUAAUUAGCUGGAAUUCGCUUUUUAUCAUAAUAGUAGUACAAAGAGGGUUACGCUUAGCACUACUGUUCUGAUUUAUUUUUAUGGAAAAUAAAAAUACGAAAUAAAUAAAUUUUAUGUCUAACAUCCUACAAA